GGGUGCUCUGGAUCUUUGUAUCUGGAGCCUGAGCAAAAGGUACAAAGAGAAAAGCCCCGAGUCGAUAAUAUCAACCCGAGGCCAACUCUAACGCUCGACAACAUUAGGUUAGCUUCUUACUCGCCGCGAGGCAAGGAUAAGGAGGCAUGAUG
rfam:Serratia fonticola strain DSM 4576, complete genome.